rnacentral:rRNA from 1 species
AGUGAACGCUGGCGGUAGGCCUAACACAUGCAAGUCGAACGGCAGCACAGUAAGAGCUUGCUCUUACGGGUGGCGAGUGGCGGAUGGGUGAGGAAUACAUCGGAAUCUACUUUUUCGUGGGGGAUAACGUAGGGAAACUUACGCUAAUACCGCAUACGACCUACGGGUGAAAGCAGGGGAUCUUCGGACCUUGCGCGAUUGAAUGAGCCGAUGUCGGAUUAGCUAGUUGGCGGGGUAAAGGCCCACCAAGGCGACGAUCCGUAGCUGGUCUGAGAGGAUGAUCAGCCACACUGGAACUGAGACACGGUCCAGACUCCUACGGGAGGCAGCAGUGGGGAAUAUUGGACAAUGGGCGCAAGCCUGAUCCAGCCAUACCGCGUGGGUGAAGAAGGCCUUCGGGUUGGAAAGCCCUUUUGUUGGGAAAGAAAAGCAGCAGGUUAAUACCCCGCUGUUCUGACGGUACCCAAAGAAUAAGCACCGGCUAACUUCGUG